GUCCGUAGGCGGGUAUUUAAGUCAGUGGUGAAAGCCCACAGCUCAACUGUGGAACUGCCAUUGAUACUGGAUGUCUUGAGUAUAGUAGAAGUAGGCGGAAUAGGGCAUGUAGCGGUGAAAUGCAUAGAUAUGCCCUAGAACACCGAUUGCGAAGGCAGCUUACUAUGUUAUAACUGACGCUGAGGGACGAAAGCGUGGGGAGCAAACAGGAUUAGAUACCCUGGUAGUCCACGCCGUAAACGAUGAUUACUCGCUGCUGGCGAUAUACAGUCAGUGGCCAAGCGAAAGCAUUAAGUAAUCCACCUGGGGAGUACGAUCGCAAGAUUAAAACUCAAAGGAAUUGGCGGGGCCCCGCACAAGCAGCGGAGCAUGCGGCUUAAUUCGACGCAACGCGAAGAACCUUACCAAGGCUUGACAUAUAGGGAAAAGUGGCAGAGAUGUCAUGUCCGCAAGGGCUCUAUACAGGUGGUGCAUGGUUGUCGUCAGCUCGUGUCGUGAGAUGUUGGGUUAAGUCCCGCAACGAGCGCAACCCUCGUUCUGUGUUGCCAGCAUUUAGUUGGGGACUCACAGGAGACUGCCGGGGUUAACUCGGA
rnacentral:rRNA from 1 species